ACCACUAAAAAAGGGUCUGUAUGACAAGAUUAGGUGUAAUAUAAUUAUACUCAAUUUUACUCUCUCAUAAUAGCCGGGCGAUAAAUAGCUAGUCACCUACGAGUUGGAACCAUAAAUAAGGUUUGUACGACAAGACUGUGCACUUAAGUUGGAUCUAAUUUGAGCAUGUAGUGCGGGAGGUGACGUAAAUAAACAGGCUUGUACUUUAUAU
rnacentral:lncRNA from 1 species